rnacentral:rRNA from 1 species
UACGUAGGGGGCAAGCGUUGUCCGGAUUUAUUGGGCGUAAAGAGCGUGUAGGCGGCCAGGUAGGUCUGCUGUGAAAACUCGAGGCUCAACCUCGAGAUGUCGGCGGAAACCAUCUGGCUAGAGUCCGGAAGAGGAAAGUGGAAUUCCCGGUGUAGCGGUGAAAUGCGCAGAUAUCGGGAGGAACACCAGUGGCGAAGGCGACUACCUGGCCUGUUCUUGACGCUGAGGCGCGAAAGCUAGGGGAGCAAACGGG